rnacentral:rRNA from 1 species
UACGUAGGGGGCAAGCGUUGUCCGGAAUCAUUGGGCGUAAAGAGCGCGUAGGCGGCCCUGUAAGUCCGCUGUGAAAGUCAAUGGCUCAACCCUUGGAUGCCGGUGGAUACUGCAGGGCUAGAGUCCGGAAGAGGCGAGUGGAAUUCCUGGUGUAGCGGUGAAAUGCGCAGACAUCAGGAGGAACACCGAUGGCGAAGGCAGCUCGCUGGGACGGUACUGACGCUGAGGCGCGAAAGCGCGGGGAGCAAACAGG